rnacentral:rRNA from 1 species
CCUACGGGAGGCAGCAGUGGGGAAUAUUGCACAAUGGGCGAAAGCCUGAUGCAGCGACGCCGCGUGAGGGAUGACGGCCUUCGGGUUGUAAACCUCUUUCAGCAGGGAAGAAGCGAAAGUGACGGUACCUGCAGAAGAAGCGCCGGCUAACUACGUGCCAGCAGCCGCGGUAAUACGUAGGGCGCAAGCGUUGUCCGGAAUUAUUGGGCGUAAAGAGCUCGUAGGCGGCUUGUCACGUCGGUUGUGAAAGCCCGGGGCUUAACCCCGGGUCUGCAGUCGAUACGGGCAGGCUAGAGUGUGGUAGGGGAGAUCGGAAUUCCUGGUGUAGCGGUGAAAUGCGCAGAUAUCAGGAGGAACACCGGUGGCGAAGGCGGAUCUCUGGGCCAUUACUGACGCUGAGGAGCGAAAGCGUGGGGAGCGAACAGGAUUAGAUACCCUGGUAGUCCACGCCGUAAACGGUGGGAACUAGGUGUUGGCGACAUUCCACGUCGUCGGUGCCGCAGCUAACGCAUAAGUUCCCGCCUGGGGAGUACGGCCGCAAGGCUAAAACUCAAAGGAAUUGACGG